rnacentral:rRNA from 1 species
GUAGGGAAUAUUGGGCAAUGGAUGCAAGUCUGACCCAGCCAUCCCGCGUGCCGGAAGAAGGCCCUCAGGGUUGUAAACGGCUUUUGACGGUGAAGAAUCGACAGGAUGCGUCCUGUUUUGACGGUAGCCGUUGAAUAAGCACCGGCUAACUCCGUGCCAGCAGCCGCGGUAAUACGGAGGGUGCGAGCGUUGUCCGGAUUUAUUGGGUUUAAAGGGUGCGUAGGCUGGAAGGUCAGUCAGCGGUGAAAAGCUGUCGCUUAACGAUAGUCUUGCCGCAGAUACUUCCGUUCUUGGAUGAGGAGGAGGCCACUGGAACGGAUGGUGUAGCGGUGAAAUGCAUAGAUAUCAUCCAGAACACCGAUUGCGAAGGCAGGUGGCUGUACCUUAAUCGACGCUGAUGCACGAAAGCAUGGGGAGCAAACAGGAUUAGAAACCCGAGUAGUCC